rnacentral:lncRNA from 1 species
UCCCUUCCAGGCCAACAACAAAAUUCAACGACAUUCUAGUCUUCAGAAUGAAAGCUCACUUGAAUUAAAACCUUCACCUCUCCUGCCCCUCUUGAGGUUGACUUUAUUGUGCGGAGAUGCAGACAUAAAUUUGAAACCGUGAAAAAAAAUGAUGUUUUAAAAAUAGAAUCCUAGAA